AUUGUGCGUAAUAUGCAAUAAUAUUAUUAUUAAAUUUCCUUGACUGCAAAUGUGUGUGACAAUAUGGUGGUUAGCUUGAUGAGCGAAUAGUGCAGAAUCGUGCUAUUCAUCUCGCUCUGAUAAUUAAGACUAAACUCAAUUAUACAUCAACAAUAGUGUAUUAAAAUAUAUAAUCUUGAACUACUAAUAAAAUACCUAAUGCGUAUACUUAUGAUU